rnacentral:rRNA from 1 species
AGCCUACGGGGGGCAGCAGUGGGGGAUAUUGGACAAUGGGGGGAACCCUGAUCCAGCGACGCCGCGUGAGUGAAGAAGUAUUUCGGUAUGUAAAGCUCUGUCAGCAGGGAAGAAAGCAAUGACGGUACCUGACCAAGAAGCCCCGGCUAACUACGUGCCAGCAGCCGCGGUAAUACGUAGGGGGCAAGCGUUAUCCGGAAUCACUGGGUGUAAAGGGAGCGUAGACGGUAAGGCAAGUCUGAUGUGAAAGGCCAGGGCUCAACCCUGGAACUGCAUUGGAAACUGUUUAACUGGAGUGUCGGAGA